AAAGCCUCUACUCAGCUGUAUUUUUGUUACUAAUUUAUGUUUGUUGUUGUUUAACACAGAUUUCAGAAGAGCAAAGAUGAGCACUGUUGCUUAAUCCUUAAUAGUUUAACUGGAUUGGAAAUCCAGAUUCUUCUUCCACAGAAGUUUCAUUUGUCAGUGUGGGACUGCUGAGUCACCUGAAGAACUCAUUUCAUUCAUUCUCCACGAUGUUGAUUUACAGAAAUGUUUCACAGGAACUGAUUCCUCCCAAAGGGUGAACUAGUGUGUUUCCAUAGAUUAUCUCUGUAUGAAUGUACUUCUUAAAUGAAGGCAAGUGUUUGUCCUGUUUUGUUCCUCAGGUACAGUACGUGAUAUUAAGGGCAGGCGGUCAUCACUGGGGGAAGACAAGAAGCAGACGUACUUCCAAGAGGGAGCUGCAGUGAGGACACAGCCUGGUCACUGAGGUCAGAGGAGGCGCUGAAAGGUUUCCCUAAUAGUUCCUGGUGAAUCAAAGCAGAACCAUAAAGAUUGCUGGACUGCAUGAUGGCCUUACCCCUGAGCAAUCAUCCUGUUAAAGGACCAACCAGUUAGAAGCUGUUUUCAAAGUAGCUGAGCAGAUUUCACCUCAACAGACAAAGCCGAUGGCAGAAGAUGUUUGGAGAAGAACUUCAGGCCGUGGACUGAAAAGUAGAUCAAAGCAGCUCGUGCUCUGUCUGCUUCC